rnacentral:rRNA from 1 species
UGAACCAGCGGAGGGAUCAUUACAGAGUUCUUUGCAACUCCCAACCCUGUGAACCAUACCAAAUUUUGUUGUUGCUUCUGGCAGGCGGGCCUCAGGGCCUCCUGCCAGCGGCGGCCUGCUCCAACCUUCUUUUUUUUUUUUAGCAGUCGUCUGAGUAAUUAAAAAAAAUAAAUCAAAACUUUCAACAACGGAUCUCUUGGCUCUGGCAUCGAUGAAGAACGCAGCGAAAUGCGAUAAGUAAUGUGAAUUGCAGAAUUCAGUGAAUCAUCGAAUCUUUGAACGCACAUUGCGCCUGCUAGCAUUCUGGCAGGCAUGCCUGUCCGAGCGUCAUUUCCACCCUCACGCGCCGCGUGGUGUUGGGGCUCUCUCCGCAGCGAGAGGCCCCGAAAGCGAGUGGCGGACCGCCUGGUUUGGCUCCGAGCGCAGUAACUCACUCUCGCUCUGGACGGCCAGCGGCCCUGCCGUGAAACCGUGUUCGCAAGAGCACACCCCACCAAAGGUUGACCUCGGAUCAGGUAGG